rnacentral:piRNA from 1 species
CUGGAACAGAUGAACAGACUCAGAUUGUGA